rnacentral:rRNA from 1 species
GAUGAACGCUGGCGGCGUGCCUAAUACAUGCAAGUCGAGCGAACAGACGAGGAUCUUGCUCCUCUGACGUUAGCGGCGGACGGGUGAGUAACACGUGGAUAACCUACCUAUAAGACUGGGAUAACUUCGGGAAACCGGAGCUAAUACCGGAUAAUAUAUUGAACCGCAUGGUUCAAUAGUGAAAGACGGUUUUGCUGUCACUUAUAGAUGGAUCCGCGCCGCAUUAGCUAGUUGGUAAGGUAACGGCUUACCAAGGCAACGAUGCGUAGCCGACCUGAGAGGAUGAUCGGCCACACUGGAACUGAGACACGGUCCAGACUCCUACGGGAGGCAGCAGUAGGGAAUCUUCCGCAAUGGGCGAAAGCCUGACGGAGCAACGCCGCGUGAGUGAUGAAGGUCUUCGGAUCGUAAAACUCUGUUAUUAGGGAAGAACAAAUGUGUAAGUAACUAUGCACGUCUUGACGGUACCUAAUCAGAAAGCCACGGCUAACUACGUG